rnacentral:rRNA from 1 species
UACAGGGGGGGCAAGCGUUGUUCGGAAUUACUGGGCGUAAAGAGCUCGUAGGCGGUCUGUCGCGUCGGUCGUGAAAACUUGGGGCUUAACCCUGAGCUUGCGGUCGAUACGGGCAUGACUGGAGUUCGGCAGGGGAGACUGGAAUUCCUGGUGUAGCGGUGAAAUGCGCAGAUAUCAGGAGGAACACCGGUGGCGAAGGCGGGUCUCUGGGCCGAUACUGACGCUGAGGAGCGAAAGCGUGGGGAGCGAACAGG